GACGAACGCUGGCGGCGUGCUUAACACAUGCAAGUCGAACGGAGUGGCGAACGGGUGUGUAACACGUGGGUGACCUGCCCUGCCCUUCGGGAUAAGCCUGGGAAACUGGGUCUAAUACCUGCUAGUGGGGGAUGGGCCUGGGGCCUAUCAGCUUGUGGGUGGGGUAAUGGCCUAGCAAGGCGGCGACGGGUCGCCGGCCGGAGAGGGUGGACGGCCACAUUGCGACUGAGACACGGCCCAGACUACUACGGGAGGAAGCAGUGGGGAAUAUUGCACAAUGGGCGGAAGCCUGAUGCAGGGACGCGGGGUGGGGGGUGAUGGCCUUCGGGGUGUAAGCUCCUUUCACCAUCGACGCGGUAGAUGGAGAAGAAGCACCGGCUAACUACGUGCCAGCAGCCGCGUAAUAC
rnacentral:rRNA from 1 species